rnacentral:rRNA from 1 species
AUUGAACGCUGGCGGCAGGCCUAACACAUGCAAGUCGAACGAGUGGCGGACGGGUGAGUAAUGUCUGGGAAACUGCCCGAUGGAGGGGGAUAACUACUGGAAACGGUAGCUAAUACCGCAUACCAUCGGAUGUGCCCAGAUGGGAUUAGCUUGUAGGUGAGGUAACGGCUCACCUAGGCGACGAUCCCUAGCUGGUCUGAGAGGAUGACCAGGCCAACUUGAACUUAGACCCUUGCCAGACUCCUAAGGGAGGGCGCAGGGGGGGAUAUUGGCAAAUGGGCGCAAGCCUGAUGCAGCCAUGCCGCGUGUAUGAAGAAGGCCUUCGGGUUGUAAAGUACUUUCAGCGGGGAGGCGUUACCCGCAGAAGAAGCACCGGCUAACUCCGUGCCAGCAGCCGCGGUAAUAC